rnacentral:rRNA from 1 species
GACGAACGCUGGCGGCGUGCUUAACACAUGCAAGUCGAACGGAAAGGCCCUGCUUUUGUGGGGUGCUCGAGUGGCGAACGGGUGAGUAACACGUGAGUAACCUGCCCUUGACUUUGGGAUAACUUCAGGAAACUGGGGCUAAUACCGGAUAGGAGCUCCUGCUGCAUGGUGGGGGUUGGAAAGUUUCGGCGGUUGGGGAUGGACUCGCGGGUUAUCAGCUUGUUGGUGAGGUAGUGGCUUUCCAAGGCUUUGACGGGUAGCCGGCCUGAGAGGGUUACCGGCCACAAUGGGACUGAGAUACGGCCCAGACGCCUACGGGCGGCAGCAGUGGGGAAUAUUGCACAAUGGGCGGAAGCCUGAUGCAGCAACGCCGCGUGCGGGAUGCCGGCCUUCGGGUUGUAAACCGCUUUCGCCUGUGACGAAGCGUGAGUGACGGUAAUGGGUAAAGAAGCACCGGCUAACUACGUG